CCUACGGGAGGCAGCAGUGAGGAAUAUUGGUCAAUGGCCGGAAGGCUGAACCAGCCAUGCCGCGUGAAGGUCAGUGCCCUAUGGGCGUUAAACUUCUUUUGUGCGGGAGCAAUAAUGGUCACGUGUGGCCAGACGAGAGUACCGUACGAAUAAGCAUCGGCUAACUCCGUGCCAGCAGCCGCGGUAAUACGGGGGAUGCAAGCGUUAUCCGGAUUUAUUGGGUUUAAAGGGUGCGUAGGCUGUGAGGUAAGUCAGCGGUGAAAUGCCCCCGCUCAACGGGGUGAAGUGCCAUUGAUACUGCCUGGCUGGAAUGCGGAUGCCGUGGGAGGAAUGUGUGGUGUAGCGGUGAAAUGCAUAGAUAUCACACAGAACACCGAUUGCGAAGGCAUCUCACGAAGCCGCGAUUGACGCUGAUGCACGAAAGCGUGGGUAUCAAACAGGAUUAGCUACCCGAGUAGUC
rnacentral:rRNA from 1 species